AUUCAAAAGUUUAUAAUAAUUCUUUUUUAUAGAAAGUGUAUUAGUAAGCAUAAAAUAUGGCCAAAAUUGCUAUGAAGUUUGCUUUCUUUGUUGCUUUGUUGCUGAUCACCAUGGUUGCAGAUUUCUCAUCCAGCAAGGUGGCAGCGGCGAACCAUUGUAAAUCUAAUGAUGAUUGUCAUUGUGUUGUGGGUCUCAAACCUGUUUGUUUUUUGCAUUUUUGCACUUGCUGGUCCAACUCAAUGUCUGAACUGGCUUCCGUACAUGGCGUGAAACCCAAGAAUUGAUGUCGGGAUAAAAAUUAUUUGCGCUCGAUGUUUACAUUUACAUUUAAGGGGAAGGGGAUAAGAUUUUAUUUUUGAUGUAUUGACUCUUGUAUGUGUAUGUUUCGAUUUCCUAAAUGAAUAUGGACUUCAAACUUUUAUGUUGAGUAAUA